UACGUAGGGUCCGAGCGUUGUCCGGAAUUAUUGGGCGUAAAGGGCUCGUAGGCGGUCUGUUGCGUCGGGAGUGAAAACUUACAGCUUAACUGUGAGCGUGCUUUCGAUACGGGCAGACUUGAGGCAUUCAGGGGAGAACGGAAUUCCUGGUGUAGCGGUGAAAUGCGCAGAUAUCAGGAAGAACACCUAUGGCGAAGGCAGCUCUCUGGGAGCGGUACUGACGCUGAGACGCGAAAGCGUGGGGAGCGAACAGG
rnacentral:rRNA from 1 species